GAUGAACGCUGGCGGCGUGCCUAAUACAUGCAAGUCGAACGGAAAGAUGCUGAGCUUGUGCCUUUGACGUUAGCGGCGGACGGGCGAGUAACGCGUGGAUCCCCUUCUUCUUUUUCUGGGAUAAUUUCGGAAAACCGGCUCCUAUACCAGCGCAUAUAUCGUACCGCGUGGUUCAUUGGUGAUUGUCGGCUUUGGUGUCUGUACUAGCUGGUUCCGCGCCGGAUUAGCUAGUUGGUAGGGUCCCAGCUUUCCAAGGCUACGAUGCGUAGCCGAGCUGAGAGGAUGAUCGGCCACACUGGAACUGAGACACGGUCCAGACUCCUACGGGAGGCAGCAGUGGGGAAUCUUCGGCAAUGGGCGAAAGCCUGACGCAGCAACACCGCGUGGGUGAUGAAGGCCUUCGGGUCGUAAAGCCCUGUUGUUGGGAAAGAACAGAUGUGGAAGUAAACAAGGCCGUCUUGACGGUACCUAAUCAAAAAGCACCGGCUAACUACGUG
rnacentral:rRNA from 1 species